rnacentral:rRNA from 1 species
AUUGAACGCUGGCGGCAGGCCUAACACAUGCAAGUCGAACGGUAACAGGAAGCGGCUUGCUGCUUCGCUGACGAGUGGCGGACGGGUGAGUAAUGUCUGGGAAACUGCCUGAUGGAGGGGGAUAACUGCUGGAAACGGUAGCUAAUACCGCAUAAUGUCGCAAGACCAAAGAGGGGGACCUUCGGGCCUCUUGCCAUCGGAUGUGCCCAGAUGGGAUUAGCUUGUUGGUGGGGUAACGGCUCACCAAGGCGACGAUCCCUAGCUGGUCUGAGAGGAUGACCAGCCACACUGGAACUGAGACACGGUCCAGACUCCUACGGGAGGCAGCAGUGGGGAAUAUUGCACAAUGGGCGCAAGCCUGAUGCAGCCAUGCCGCGUGUAUGAAGAAGGCCUUCGGGUUGUAAAGUACUUUCAGCGGGGAGGAAGGGAGUAAAGUUAAUACCUUUGCUCAUUGACGUUACCCGCAGAAGAAGCACCGGCUAACUCCGUGCCAGCCGCCGCUGUAA